CACAAUAUACAACUGGAGGCUUCCAAAAAGCCAUCUAACCUCCCCGGUUUUCUUCCUCAGGCAUGAAAAGAAAAACUGGACCCUGCCAAGCUGGUGUGCCUCGUACCAGCACCGUGAGGACACAGCCCUGCCCAACCGAGCUCUGGGCAGCAGGACCAUGGGCUCAGAGGGUACGAGGAGGUCUCACGCAUGCCUCGGUCACCACCACCGCUUCCCUUGCGCUGGGGUUGGAGAGGGCCAAGCUCUGCCCCUAGCAGCUCUCGCAGGAGAACAAAGAGAAAGACACAAGGCCAAAUUUGGAGCUGGCACAAAUCAGCUCUGCAAGUCAAGGAAGCCGUUCCUGCUCAUCCAGGCUGGAUACAGAUGCUGUUGGCCAAUUUUAUCCCUGGGGAGAACACCCCUAAUGUCUGAAGAGUUGCACCGCAUAUGAAUUUGGCUGCCAGGAAUUAACUCCCUGCGGAGCGGAUCCCUUGUUCUCAAUGUUCAGAGCUUGUGCCAGAUUCAGCCAGGACCUGUGCAGACCCUGGACCUCUUCACUGCCAAGAAAUUGUGUUUUCCUGUGAAAUGCUGCAGGUGCUAAAGACAACCCAAACAGCAUUGCAGGAAGGAGUCCCUAAAGGGGUC